UACGUAGGGCGCAAGCGUUGUCCGGAAUUAUUGGGCGUAAAGAGCUCGUAGGCGGUUUGUCGCGUCUGCUGUGAAAACCUAAGGCUCAACCUUGGGCUUGCAGUGGGUACGGGCAGACUAGAGUGCGGUAGGGGUGACUGGAAUUCCUGGUGUAGCGGGUGGAAUGCGCAGAUAUCAGGGAGGGAACACCCGAUGGCGAAGGGCAGGUCAC
rnacentral:rRNA from 1 species